rnacentral:sRNA from 1 species
GCCAGGCACAGUGGUGCGCACCUGUAAUCCCAGCUGCUCAGGAGGCUGAGGCAGGAGGAUCACAAGUUCAAAGCCAAACUGGGAAAUUUAGUGAGACCCUGUCUCUA